GCCAGUGUGGCUCAGUGGUAGAGCAUCAGCCAGCACACCAAAGAGUCAAGGGUUCGAAUCCCGGUCAAGGGCA
rnacentral:tRNA from 1 species